UGGCUAUAUGAAGUUGAAACACCGGUUCUCUUACGAUCUCCGAAGUUAAGCAACGCCGAAUCCGGUCAGUACCAAGAUGGGUGACCGAUUAGGAAAACCA